AUCGUCUAGACUCACAAUCACAAACGAUGUUUUGCCGGUCGCUGAUGCUAUUGACACGGUAGUGUACGAGCCCCUUUUUUAGAAACCGGAGCACAGAAACCCUUCCUCCAAACCGUGUUGGGCUGAGAAGACCUUCUGUAAAGUGUCCCUGUUCCUUCUUAUCUCUUCUCUCUGAUCCCCUGGACGCCGCGGUCAGAUAGGCCGACUGGGCUGGGCUUGGAUUGGUUUCUCGGGGUUCCAGUGCUGAUCGACAGCCAAUGGCGCUUCGGAACGGAUACUCCAUCAACGCCGCCCCGGCGGAGGAAAGCGAGGGGGCGGGCGAUAAGGAACCUCUGAUUGAGAUUGAAGCUGUGCCGCCGCAAUGCUGCUCGGCCCGCUACACCCUGGCCGUGCUGAUGUUCUUCGGAUUCUCCGUGGUCUACGGUCUCCGCGUCAACCUCAGCGUCGCCAUGGUGGCCAUGGUGAACACCACGGACGCCUCGCCGACGGCCAACCACUCCCUGGUGACCGCCUGCCCGCUGCCGAGGCCCGACAACAGCAGCGUGCCCGUGGUCCUCAUCGACACGGGACCCCAGUACCCGUGGGACGCUAAGACCCAGGGCUGGCUGCUGGGGGCCUUCUUCUUCGGGUACCUGUUCACCCAGAUCCCGGGGGGGUACCUGUCGGGCCACUACGGGGGCUCCCUGUUCCUGGGGGGGGGGGGUCCUGGGCACGGCGGCGCUCACCCUGCUCACGCCCCUGGCCGCCCAGGGGGGGGCCGAGGCGCUGUUCGCACUGAGGGCCCUGGAGGGCUUUGGAGAGGGCGUGACCUUCCCGGCCAUGAUGGCCAUGUGGGCGCGCUGGGCCCCGCCCCUGGAGCGGUCCACCCUGAUCAGCCUGUCGGCCUCGGGGGCCAGCUUCGGGGCCUUCGUGGCCCUGCCCCUCACCGCGCUCAUCUGCCAGACCCUGGGCUGGCCCGCCGUCUUCUACAUCUGUGGCAGUGGUGGUUGCCUGUGGGCGGUCUUUUGGUUCUUCCUUGUUUCUGACGACCCCCGCACCCAUCGACGAAUCAGCGAAGAGGAGAAGAAUUACAUCAUCAACUCCAUCGGACCUCAGGGGUCGCCCCACGGCUGGUCGGUGCCCCUGCUCAGCAUGGCUCUCUCAGGCCCCCUGUGGGCCAUCAUCCUCACCCAGAUGUGCGCCAACUGGUCCUACUACACCAUGCUGACCAGCAUGCCCACCUACAUGAACAACGUGCUGCACUUUGACCUGUCUUCGAAUGCCGCCCUGUCGGCGGUGCCCUUCCUGGGGGCGCUCUUCGUCUCCGUGCUCUCGGGCUUCCUGGCCGACCGGCUGAUCGAGAAGAGGACCCUCAGCACCACCGCCGUGCGCAAGCUCCUCACACUCAUAGGUCUCCUAGUGCCGGCGGUGUGUCUGGUUGCCGCGGGUUACGCGGGCUGCUGCGCCGUCCCGGCGGUCGCCUUGCUGUGCGUGUCGGCCACCGUGGGCGGGAUCAGCGCCGCCGGCGUCUUCAUCAACCAGAUCGACAUCGCCCCCCGGUACGCAGGUGUGUUGCUAGGGAUCACCAACACCUUCGGAACCAUCCCGGGGGUCCUGGCUCCCAUCGUCACCGGUUACCUCACCGAAGACCACACCCUGACAGGCUGGCGAAAUGUGUUCUGGGUUUCGGCGGGGGUCAACGCCUUAGGGGCCCUGAUCUUCACGUGCAUGGGGAGCGGGGUGAUCCAGACCUGGGCCCUGACGGAGGAGGAGAGGGCGGAGGAGGAGAGGGCCAAGAAGGAGAGGGGGGAGGAGGAGGUGAGGAGGAACGAAGGCGACCCGACGAUAGCCACAUAAAGGACAGCCGGAUGACCCGCUGGACUUCAUCACCACGGUGAUGGAGAAAGUGAUUAUGGACGGAUCAGUGAACCGCAGUGAACAGCCCCCCUCCUGGUCUUUUUUUAAGCAUUUUAAUCUAAAAAGAAAAAGUGCACUUUAAUGUUGGUUAAGAAACAAAGAGGGUGUGGGUGGUUCCACUCCACGUCAUUGAAGAGUAUGUGUUAAAUGUCUUUAUUCAUGCAAGCUUUUUCACAGGGAAAAGUGUGUUACAAGGCCCUCUUUUACAGAGCAAGUUGACCAACCUCAGAAGGAGAGACGUGGGUAGGAUAGGAGUGCAAUAGGGGGGCUAAAGCUUUUUCUGCCAAAGCCCUGCCAAAAGGUUCCCUGGGCAGAGGUACCUAAAGCUCUGAGCCAUACAACGGGGGACUCGAUUCCAGUUUUUAUAUAUUGCUUUUUUUUUCUUGCUUUUUUUUACAAAUGACCACAUAUGUCUCCUGUUAUUAUGAAAACUUGGAACCCACCUGACUUCCUCUCACAAACCCUCAGCGUGUGUGGUUCCCAACAUGUGCUAUGUUUCAUUCUCACAUCUGUCGGUACUCGAGCAACGGGACCAGCCCGACCGUCAGGUUUAAUACUCAGGUUUGUAUUCUCUGAUCCUUAAACUCAGGAGAAUUUGGGCCGUGUGGAUGGUCAAUGGAGGAAAUGAUACUCUGGAAUGUGGGAUUUCCGUAGAAGUAUAAUUCUGUAAGUUCACGUGCCUUUCUAUUGCUGCAUGUAUGAGGUUUGUAACCUCUGCGUUUGUUUGUAGAUGACCAAAUAAUACACCUUGUAGUUAAUAAAUCCCUCUUUUACUGUGACAUAAUUAACUUGCUCCUCUGCAGAAGUUUUCUAAAGGGACUCUGCCUCCACCCACUGUGAGGGUCUUAAUACACUCAUUACCUUAUUUGACUUUGUUCAAAAAUUGAUUCCAUUUGGGUAGCUGUAAUAAUGGGUGACUUCGGUCUGGUUACAUUUUCUGAUGGGAAAAAGGAUGACUCUACGAACUUUUGUUUCAUUACGUGGCUGACAAUGUUGAUAAAAAAGUCAUUUCAUGAUUGUGAAGAUUAAAUUAUGCUCUUCGAAGAAUAUAAUUAUUUUUCUACCUUUUUUAAAGUUUUAAAAUGUUUGUUUUAUAUUUUAUUAUUUUAUUUCUUCGGCUUCAAGUAAAAACUUCUAAACUUCUAAA